rnacentral:rRNA from 1 species
UACAGAGGUCUCAAGCGUUGUUCGGAUUCAUUGGGCGUAAAGAGCUCGUAGGCGGUUUGUCACGUCUGCUGUGAAAUCCCGAGGCUCAACCUCGGGCCUGCAGUGGGUACGGGCAGACUGGAGUGCGGUAGGGGAGAAUGGAAUUCCUGGUGUAGCGGUGGAAUGCGCAGAUAUCAGGAGGAACACCGAUGGCGAAGGCGGCUCACUGGCCCGGAACUGACGCUGAGGUGCGAAAGCGUGGGGAGCAAACAGG